rnacentral:miRNA from 1 species
AGAGAAUAGACGCUGUGCUGUA